CCCCUCCCCCCACUCCUCCUUUUAAAGCAGCCCGAGUUGAGCGAGCGCAGGCCCAGAGUUGGGCCUAGGGGAAAAAAAAAAAAAAAAGACUUUGAAGAACAGUCUGCCUGACGGCUUCGGGAAGGGGACAAAGAGGAUGGGCCUGGGUAGUUAUUUGUAUUAAAGGUGGGAUAUGGCGCUACAUCUCGCUUAACGUUUGGGGGACGUCCGCCGCUUCCACGGGGGCAGAAGAAGAGGUUUUAAUACAAAACUGCAAGGAGGAGGGAAGUGGGACUGGCCGAGCAAGAAGAAUGACGGAAGCACCUGUCACCGUGGUAGGCUGAAUCCGGGAGUGUCAUCGCGAAGUUGAAGGCCAUGAUCUGACAGUCAGAAGUGGUGCCCGAAAAUGCAACUGAGCAUACAGGCACAGAGAGACUAACUACCACAUACAGCCAAGCAGUCCUGGAGUAGAGACAUGAAUCGAGGAAUGGCAGACUCAGGAGGACGGAUGACCCUCACCACAAUGUCACAUUGCCUCAAAGGCCACACAGUCCAUCUUAAAAAUCUUAUUUAAAAGCUAACGGUUUAACUGUUAGAUCAUGUGACAAAAAUCUAGGACACACACUAUACAUUCUUUUGUGGCCUUUUUCCCUAAUUAUAUAAAAAUAAAACAUUUUCAUAUUUUCUCAGAUGAACAUUAUUUCCUGGUUUGUGACUUUAUGAAAGAUAUUAAAACUGAAAACUUUUGAAUUACUUGUCUUUAUUAUUUUUUUCUUCUUGGUUAAUAUUCUAUGUAAUAUGAAGGGCAUCUAAUUCAUUCUAGUUCAUGAUCUGUGGAUGAUAUCCCUAAUCAUUUUAUCUAUUAUUUUAUUUGGUAUCUAUCAUUCAUAUUUACAUGUGUUUUUGGUUUAGUUUCUUGGAGAUUCUAAUUUGUACUACACAUUAAUUUAUCAUCAUUAUCACUCAUUUACUAAUAUACCUACGUAUCUAUAUACAGUCAAAUGAAAAAGAAAACAAAUGAUCAUUAUGUAUUCACAAUUUUUUGUAGGUGUCAAAUUCUUUAACCUAAAUUUACUUUGAGAUCCAGUAAUGAGUACUAGAAUCUUGGCAGAAGGAAUAAUUUGGCCUGCAGUCUUCAUCAGGGAAAGUUUACAACGGGAUGGCAAGGAAACAGCUUUUAAGAUCUAUUAAAAUGGGGAAGAGAUAGCCAUGACUCGCUUGAUCAUCUAUUUUAUAUACAAAAAUCAGGGUUAUGGGACUGUAUUUAUAUAGGUUGCCUGGAGACAAGUCAGCCUGAAUCCAUUUUCGUUAUUUAUAGGAUAAAAUGCUCUGACUCACCCUAUUUUCGUUUGUAUAAAUCUGCUUGUGGCUUCUGCUUUAUCAGAUAAGGUCAUGGAAGAGAAUUGUUUCCCAUUUUUCCUGAACAGAAGUUGACCUUGAAAUGAAAUAGCAUUUAUCCUGUAUUAGUCACCAACAAUCUGCUUCUGCAUUUGGAUUACAUAAAAUUAUUAGGAAGUGAAUGCCUAAUGAUGAAAAUUCUUAGCUACUGUGAGUUGCUUAAUGAAAUUUACUGUUUUCUCUUG